UAGGGAAUAUUGGACAAUGGGUGAGAGCCUGAUCCAGCCAUGCCGCGUGCAGGAAGAAGGCGUUAUGCGUUGUAAACUGCUUUUUGCCAGGGGAUAAAAAGACCGUGCGCGGUUAAUUGAAGGUACCUGGUGAAUAAGCCACGGCUAACUACGUGCCAGCAGCCGCGGUAAUACGUAGGUGGCAAGCGUUGUCCGGAUUUAUUGGGCUUAAAGGGUGCGUAGGUGGCCCUGUAAGUCAGUGGUGAAAUAUCUCAGCUUAACUGAGAGGGUGCCAUUGAUACUGCAGGGCUUGAGUACAGAUGAGGUAGGCGGAAUUGACGGUGUAGCGGUGAAAUGCAUAGAUAUCGUCAAGAACACCGAUAGCGAAGGCAGCUUACCAAGCUGUAACUGACACUGAGGCACGAAAGUGUGGGGAUCGAAACAGGAUUAGAUACCCCAGUAGUCCCUGAGCGGGCUGGCAAGGCGCAU
rnacentral:rRNA from 1 species